AGCGGAGCGAGUUUGAAACUAGUGGAGAAGACAAAAAGGAGACUGAAUUGAGAAAAUCAAACGAUGACAAUUUACGUGUAGUGCCGUGUGAAGCCCCCUGGGAGCGGAGGAUGAGGAAUUACGGUAUUGCGGUGAUCAGCUACACGCUCCGGACGGACUCAAAGCCAACAGGAAUGAGGGAGAUUAACGAGACUCCUCCGAGAAGGUGUUCGGCAUCAAGACGUCACAGAUGGAAUUGUUUCAGGAUGUUGCCACGCCCCUCGUUGAUGACCUCAUUCACAACAAGAACGGUUGGAACCAACAUGCAGCACCUGAAGCAGGACGAGAGGCAAGAACCAUUCGUCUCCCAGCUCAGGGACAAGCUACACUUUUCACAGCCCUGUGUAAUGUUCAAUGUAAGAGAGACCAGAACCAUUCGCCUCCCAGCUCAGGGACCAGCUACACUAUUCACAGCCCUGUGUAAUGUUCAAUGUAAGAGAGACCAGAACCAUUCGCCUCCCAGCUCAGGGACCAGCUACACUAUUCACAGCCCUGUGUAAUGUUCAAUGUAAGAGAGACCAGAACCAUUCGCCUCCAAGCUCAGGGACCAGCUACACUAUUCACAGCCCUGUGUAAUGUUCAAUGUAAGAGAGACCAGAACCAUUCGCCUCCAAGCUCAGGGACCAGCUACACUAUUCACAGCCCUGUGUAAUGUUCAAUGUAAGAGAGACCAGAACCAUUCGCCUCCCAGCUCAGGGACCAGCUACACUAUUCACAACCCUGUGUAAUGUUCAAUGUAAUUACAUUGAUGGACUUUAUGAAACUUGAUGUAUUUGUAUUGUUUAAAAAAUGUACAAAUGAAAGGAAAUGUAUGGUU